AUUGAACGCUGGCGGCAGGCCUAACACAUGCAAGUCGAGCGGAUGAAGGGAGCUUGCUCCUGGAUUCAGCUGCGGACGGGUGAGUAAUUCCUAGGAAUCUGCCUGGUCGUGGGGGAUAACGUCCGUACACGGGCGCUAAUACCGCAUCCGUCCUGAUGGUGAAAGUGGGGGAUCUUCGGACCUCGCGCUAUCUGAUGAGCCUAGGUCGGAUUAGCUAGUUGGUGGGGUAAAGGCCUACCAAGGCGACGAUCCGUAACUGGUCUGAGAGGAUGAUCAGUCACACUGGAACUGAGACACGGUCCAGACUCCUACGGGAGGCAGCAGUGGGGAAUAUUGGACAAUGGGCGAAAGCCUGAUGCAGCCACGCCGCGUGUGUGAAGAAGGUCUUCGGAUUGUAAAGCACUUUAAGUAGGGAAGAAGGGAAGUAAGAUAAACCCUUGCCGUUUUGACGGUACCAAAAGAAAAAGCAACGGCUAACUUCGUG
rnacentral:rRNA from 1 species